GGGGAUAUGGCGAAAUCGGUAGACGCUACGGACUAAAAUCCGUCGACUUAAAAAAUCGUGAGGGUUCAAGUCCCUCUAUCCCCA
rnacentral:tRNA from 1 species